CUCUUUGCUCUAGACCGGUACC
rnacentral:siRNA from 1 species